rnacentral:rRNA from 1 species
UACGUAGGGUGCGAGCGUUGUCCGGAAUUAUUGGGCGUAAAGAGCUCGUAGGCGGCUUGUCGCGUCGAAUGUGAAAACCUGCAGCUCAACUGCAGGCUUGCAUUCGAUACGGGCAGGGCUCGAGUUCGGUAGGGGAGACUGGAAUUCCUGGUGUGAGCGGUGAAAUGCGCAGAUAUCAGGAGGAACACCGGUGGCGAAGGCGGUUC